rnacentral:rRNA from 1 species
UACGAAGGGGGCUAGCGUUGCUCGGAAUCACUGGGCGUAAAGCGCACGUAGGCGGCUUUUUAAGUCAGAGGUGAAAUCCUGGAGCUCAACUCCAGAACUGCCUUUGAUACUGGAGAGCUUGAGUCCGGGAGAGGUGAGUGGAACUGCGAGUGUAGAGGUGAAAUUCGUAGAUAUUCGCAAGAACACCAGUGGCGAAGGCGGCUCUCUGGCCCGGUACUGACGCUGAGGUGCGAAAGCGUGGGGAGCAAACAGG